rnacentral:rRNA from 1 species
UACGUAGGAGACGAGCGUUGUCCGGAAUUACUGGGCGUAAAGGGUCCGUAGGCGGUGUGGCAAGUCGGAAGUGAAAUCUCUGGGCUUAACCCAGAGGCUGCUUCCGAAACUGCUGUGCUAGAGUGUGAGAGAGGCGAGUGGAAUUGCGGGUGUAGCGGUGAAAUGCGUAGAUAUCCGCAGGAACAUCCGAGGCGAAAGCGGCUCGCUGGAUCACAACUGACGCUGAGGGACGAAAGCUAGGGGAGCAAACAGG